UACAGAGGUCUCAAGCGUUGUUCGGAUUCAUUGGGCGUAAAGGGUGCGUAGGCGGCGCGGUAAGUCGGGUGUGAAAUCUCGGGGCUUAACUCCGAAACUGCAUUCGAUACUGCCGUGCUUGAGGACUGGAGAGGAGACUGGAAUUUACGGUGUAGCGGUGAAAUGCGUAGAUAUCGUAAGGAAGACCAGUGGCGAAGGCGGGUCUCUGGACA
rnacentral:rRNA from 1 species